rnacentral:misc_RNA from 1 species
AACCUUAUGGACCUGCGGGCGUAUACCUGCGGAAGGAUCAUUAAUGAAUAAACUUGGUCAAGCUGUUGCUGGUCUCUCGGGACAUGUGCACGCUUGCCACCAAUUUUAACCACCUGUGCACUUCUUGUAGAUUGGAAACGUUUCUCGAGGCAACUCGGAUUGAGAACUGCUGUGCGAAAGCCGGCUGUUCUUGUGUUUCUCAGUCUAUGUUUCAUAUACUCCGAAUGUAUGUAUAAGAAU